rnacentral:tRNA from 1 species
AAAAAAUUAGUUUAAUUUUUAAAACUUUAGUAUGUCAAACUAAAAAUAUUAGUUUUAAAUCUAAUAUUUUUUA